GAGGGUAUAGCUCAUAGUGGUAGAGUGCAUACUUAACAUGCACAAGGUCCUGGGUUCUAUCCCCAGUACCUCCU
rnacentral:tRNA from 1 species